UACAGAGGGGGCAAGCGUUGUUCGGAAUUACUGGGCGUAAAGGGCGCGUAGGCGGUGUGUCAAGUCAGGCGUGAAGGCCCCGGGCUCAACCUGGGAAUCGCGCUUGAGACUGGCACGCUAGAGUUCGGGAGAGGAUGGUGGAAUUCCCAGUGUAGAGGUGAAAUGCGUAGAUAUCUGGAGGAACACCGGUGGCGAAAGCGGCUCACUGGAUCGAUACUGACGCUGAGGUGCGAAAGCUAGGGUAGCAAACGGG
rnacentral:rRNA from 1 species